UCCAAUAACAUAUCAUUCAUAAAAUACAAAUAUUUUGGAGUACAACACAACUUUUAUCUUUUUCAAUUUUGCUACUCACAUCCUCUAUAUUUGCUACCUACCCCUCUCAAUUUUUUAUAAAAACAAAAUACCUAAAAUGUUUUUGCCUAUUUAUAAUAUUUUUAACCCUAAUCUUUCAUGAAAUUGGUUGUUUACACAAGCCUAGAAACCUAUGUGAACUAAGCUCAUGUAUGUGAACUCAGUUGCGUAUGCAAACUCACUCUGCCCAGACACGUAUGUGAAUUCAAUUUGCAUACGCAAACUCACUCUGGCCAGAAACAUACGUGUACACAAAGUCGGUCUGCGUAGAACCUACGUGAUCUCAGUUUACAUAGGUUUUACGCAGAUUAAGUUUGCGUACGCAGACUGAGUUUACAUAUGUGAACUCAGUUCACGUACAUUUCUGGGCAGAGUGAAUUUGCGUACGCAAACUCAGUUUACGUACGUUUACAUCAAUUGAGUUCACGUAGGUGUUCGUGAAUUCAGUUUACGUAUUGUCUAUGCACGCUUAAACUCCAUUAGAUACACGUACGUGAACUCGGUUCACGUACAAUCCCCAGGCUUUGAAAUAUUUACAACAUACGUGAAUUGAGUUCACAUACAAUCCAUAGAUUUUGAAAAAAAAAAUAAAAAAUAAACUCAAACACAGAUCAAUAAACAUACCUUGUUGGGUGACUUUGACCAUAAUAUAAAUAUGAGACUUAUGAGGUGUAAUUUAUGAGCGAGUGAUGUGAAUUUUGAAUGAUUAUAAGUUAUGGAAG
rnacentral:lncRNA from 1 species